rnacentral:rRNA from 1 species
CUACGGGAGGCUGCAGUCGAGAAUCUUUCGCAAUGGGCGCAAGCCUGACGAUGCGACGUCGCGUGAGGGAUGAAGGUCUUCGGAUCGUAAACCUUUGUCAAGAGGGAUGAAUGAUAAUCAGUUGAAUAAGCUGGUUAAGUGACAGUACCUCUAGAGGAAGCCACGGCAAACUCCGUGCCAGCAGCCGCGGUAAUACGGAGGUGGCAAGCGUUGUUCGGAUUUACUGGGUGUAAAGGGCAUGUAGGCGUUCUAAUAAGUCCUGGUUGAAAUACUUCGGCUUAACCGAAGAAUUGGUCGGGAAACUGUUAGGAUUGAGUUUGGGAGAGGAGAACGGAAUUCCCGGUGUAAGGGUGAAAUCUGUAGAUAUCGGGAAGAACACCAGUGGCGAAGGCGGUUCUCUGGCCCAAAACUGACGCUGAAAUGCGAAAGCUAGGGGAGCGAACAGGAUUAGAUACCCGUGUAGUC